CGCCUCACACGGACGUUCCAAAUAUGGGGGAAAGGGGCGAGACUGGACCGGACUGGAUCUUCCCUUUUUUCUUUUUCCACUCCCAUGGUUUACGCCCUCCGAUGAUCCCUGAACCCGCUCGUUAUUAUUUGAAUUUGUCCUGCAGCUUCGCAAGAUUUGGCUCUUGCUAACGGAUUAAAUCCAAAGUUGUAUCUGUCUCUGCUUCAACCUCAGCGUUUCCUAAAGUUUAUUGUUGAGUUGAAAAUACUUAUCAAACAUGUUCGAUGCCUCCUCUGCUGAAAGUCCCAAAAAAAUUUGGAUCAUUGGAGAUAGCCAUGUCCGCCGAGCAUCAGAAAGGGCAUCUCAGCUAAACACCAGCACCGACUUGGGAUUGCCAGGGAUCCACGUCUCCUGGUUUGGUUGGGGGGGACUGCGUUGGAGUGGCCUCUUACCUUUCCUUUCCUCCAUUCUACAAGGAAGAGGGGCUCCUGACUUUCUCAUCAUUCACUGUGGGGGGAAUGACAUGGGCCAAGUCAGGAGUGUGGAACUGGUUACCAUGAUGAAAGAAGACAUCCAGCAGCUGCAUGAUGUUCAUCCCAACACAAAAAUUGUUUUUUCUUUACUUCCACAGAGGGUGAAGUGGAGAAGUUGUGCUCAUCCAGCAAAAAUGGAGAAGGCUAGAAGGUUUGUGAACAAUGUCAUGGCUACAUUUAUUUCAAAUUUGAACAACUUUUUUAUUGAUAAUCGGAGCAUCAAAUAUGACAGCCCUGGUCUAUUUUUGAAAGACGGAGUUCAUUUCUCACCUAGUGGGAAUGAUGUUUUUUUAAUGAACUUGUCUUCUUUUCUUAAAGAACACAUUUCUACCCACUGAAAUUCUUACUGGAAUUUCCAGUGGAUAAAAAUGUCCUCUUUAAGAUCAUUUAUUAAGUGCUUACUCUCUCAAAAAAAGGCAGGGUUGUCAUGGGUGAUGUUAUACCCAUGACAUUGUUCACCAAAAACGUUCCUUCUUUUAUUUAUUUUAAGUUGUAUUUUUCUCAAUAUGUAAAUAUAAAACUAUUACAUCAAACCUUUACUCUUGUGCUAUCCUUGGCAUGUUUAAAUUAAAAGUGGUGUCAUCUGGACCCCACGAGACAGUGACCUGAACUAUUUUUUAAUGCUCUUUUAAUGAAUAUUUGAAUCUGUAAUUUGAAUCUGUAAAUACAUCUUGUGCA